CACCAUAGAAUAUUCAAUAAUGAAAUUGGAAAGAAAAGUAAACUACCUACUUAUUAUUUUCCCCUUAUAAUCGGUUUAAUUUUGAAUUGCCAGCUAUCUGAAAAGCUUUCAAAGCUGUCAUCUUUUGACAUUUGAUGAGUAAAAACUACGCCAGUAUUAAAAAUUAAACGAUACAUGCUUCAAAAACGUAUCACCUUCUUUCUCCACAGACCCCACUGAGGUCGCUAGCUAGCUCAGGAGAGAUCUAAAAGGGCGCCACCGAUUCUAUAUGAGAAGAACGACUACGGUAGGGUGAGCUGAGUGUAUCGGAACCUGAAAAACUACAAGGGUAUAGAAGGAUGGGAUGAAUCACAAUCACUCAAAUCUCUCUAUCUCUCUGAAAUGAUCUAAAUAAUGAGAUACUUACUGAGGUAACCUCUGUGAAUAGUGAAAUACCCAAGUAAAAAAGGAAAACAAUAGAAUAACUACUAAAUAAUCCGGUCAGAUCUGAUCGAAUCGUACAGCUGUUCGUAACGAGAAAUAUGGGAAAAUGUAUGCCAAUUUCGAAGGUGUGCCCUCUCCCUGAGGAUUGCGGUGUUUAUCCCGAGAUCAUUGAUGGAAUCAUUAGUUUGGCACACAGUGAUCUCUACUAAUUACACCUUCCAUUGGGACUGUAGUGUCAUAACAGAUAUGAAAACGGCCAGACAUUGUGAUAUACAACUAACUAACUCAGCAGUGCAAAAUGUAGUACGUGAGGAGUGCUCAUCACUACGCUUAGGCACAUUCACAUUAUUGCCAGGAGUUGAGACGACAUAUAGUGUCAGCCACAAAUGCUGACAAAGGGCCAAAAUUAUUCCGAGAUGCACAGAAAUCGGCCAUUCUGAGAUCCGGGGACUCGAGAACAGAUAGACCGUAAAUGACCCUGAGGUCACUAAACAAGGGACAGUUUCUAAGGAUGUGGUCGCUGAACUGCGGGCGACCACAUGGACAAUGUCCCUCUUCGACCAGACCCAGCCUGAACAGAUUACCUUUGAAGGGACCAUGGCCUGAAAUGAAACAGGCCAGAGGGAAACUUGUGAUAUACAACAAGCUUGAAACAAAUGCUGUCAUUAUCGACUUGUCAGUGCCAUAAAACAACAAUCUAUUAGAAAGUAAUAUCGCUGAAUACAAGCCAUUGGCAAAGAAAAGCGUCAGCGGGCUUAUAUAUAAGAAAACCAUAAAACAUCUUACAAAACUGAAUCUGCCUCAGAAUGUGAUCUCAUGGAUGCAGAAAGCAGUGAUAUUGGGAACAUCGAACAUCAUCCGAAAAAUUCUCUACCCUCAUUAGCUCGAGUGUCUUACUCUUUACCGUUUUUUCGAAUUAUAUUCCAUUAAUUUCUGUUUUAUUGAAACUGGGCUACAAAAACCUCUCAGUUCCAAUUGAAUGUAUUCCCUUUAUUCAUUUAUGUAUAUCGACAUCUCCUUCUGGAGUCGACUAUCAGUAUCAAUUUCCUUCAUCACUUCAAGAAACAAAUAAGGUCAGGGAUAAUCUACUCCUUAAUCAGUAUUUAAUCGUGGUUUAACAAGCUGUUGCUCAAGAAUCAAUUGUCGAUCUUGAACUUUUGCUCAUCAGAAUAGUGUGAACAUGAAGUGUGAAAAUAAGAGACAAUUAUAAAAAUUAUUUUCACUCACUGCUAAAUCAAUAUCUAGAUGGAAUAACUUCUCAUUAAUCGGUAUGUAUCAUUUGUAUUGAAUUCUAUACACUUACUGUUAAAUCUGGAUUUAUCUUCAAAAUCACUUUUCAAUUGGAAAGCUACAUUUUAUUGAAGGUUUACUUAUUCUACCCCUAACUCUAACAACAUACCUUCAUCGUGUGUCAAGGCCAAGGAAAAACUUUUCUUGGAUCUCUCAAACGUAAAAUGUAGUGGUGCAUACCAAUAUGUAAUUUACUGUUUUUCAUCAGUUUGACUGAGAAAAUUGUCAAAAUUAAUUGUAACUGGUGAAAAAAAAUGAGGAAACCUCUACGAUAAGUCAGGAGCUUUUGAGUGCUCGUGAUUCAUGAGCCAAUUGCUCCCUAGAGACCACAUAUAAUGUGGAAUCGUAUAUUGUUUAUACAGGGUGUAACAUGAAUGAUUGGUCAAUGCAGGUCAUCCAUCCCUUUCAGAAAAGUAGCUUGUUGUAUAUCCUGAGACUUUUUUUGAGAGUUUCGGAGAUCCAGGUUGAUUAAUGCAAAUUGGCCUAAAUUUUUAUACAUACAUAACUUGGAAAUCAGGAGUACGAUUUUGUUUAUUUUUUGUGGAUUUGUUCACUUUAUACAACCCUUCAAAAUUUUCUUGUAAUUUUAAUAUUUCCAGGGCAGUACUCAGAUUAUUGACUCUAUUUUUUCCUCGUUUUGGAAGAAUAUUGUUAUUACCAUAAAAAAAUAUAUAAUUCAGUGUAAUGAAUUCAAUUUUUACUUUGAAUGGCACACUUUCAUCAGAAGAGUUGCAAACGAACGAAUUCAUGUUUUAUGUAACUUUUUUGAAAUAUGGUCUUGUUUUUAUUUCGUUCGUGAUGAUAUUUGAUCUUAUCAGCUGAGGUCUUGACUUUUAUAGCUUUUUGUUCAAUCUUUCUUUAUUUUAAAACCAAAGUGUUGUAACAUGCUGUAUAAAACAUUGAUUAGAAGUAUGCAUGAUCCAUCAAAUGUGAAUUCUUUUGAAAAUAGGAAUUAAAAUCAAAACGAAAUGACAUUACCAAAUUGGAAAAUGUAAACAAUUAGUGUAUUUGCUUUACGGUAAAAAUAAGACAUAAAAAUCAAUAUUUUGAGAAAAUUUGAACGUAUUCACUUUUAUUAAUUGAAAAUGUGAAUUGAAAAGAAGGUAUAAGAUGUUCAACUGUUUUUGUCUACACUAGGUACUUAUAUUUGAUAUGAUCUUUAGAUAUUUAUUCAUAUGAACAAUUACAAAAAAACUGCAGAAAAAGAACUGAGAGAAAUGUAAAAAUAAUAAAACUCUGAAAAUCAAAUAUUUAAUUUUAUUACUAACAUCACCGAGUAUCGCCAUGGAGAUGUUUGGUGUAUUCAGCAGAGCAGGGAUCGAACUGAUGAGUCCAUCAGUGAAAUUAUGAUUUAGAAUGUCCAAUAAUUUGAGAAGUUUCAAAACCAUUUAUGCACACACCACAAUGAUGAUGGUAAUGAAUUGGAAUAAGAUGAAAUGACUCAUGUCAACAUACAUACCUACAGGGUUUCCUCUACAAUUGUUCAUAAAAAGUCCACAAAUAUUGUGUACUUUUAAAGAAAACCAUAACUGUUAAAAAUGAAACAAUUUGAUAGAAUUACUACAUAAUAAAACAUGCACAAAAAUGUGUAUAUUUUUUACGCAAGAUCGAGCUGUACUUAUUCAGCACCAAUUUGUGUACAUCAGGUUUACAAUAGUUGUUAAAUCGUACAACCAUUUUUAAGAGUGUAUAUUUUCAAUGUUGUCAAAACGUAUUAUAACAGGUUUCUCGAAUUUUGUUCCAAUUCAAUAAAGUGAAUUGUCUUGCAAUUUACCUACAGUUUUUCAUUGGAUAUUUGUAAAAUAAUCCCCCUCAAAUUUCCUUGUUGUUCCUCCGACAAAUUGUAAACAAAAAUGUUAUUAAUUUUUUCGUCUUGUUGCAGGUUAUCAGUUUUCACAUGGGAGACUCUUAUCUCUUCCGUGUUGUUCAUGACUGUUCCUUGUAAAGUAUCCAAUUUUUUAUUGACCUUGUUCAGAAAUUUGUUUACGAAUUCUCUAUCACAGAGCGUUUCGAUAAGGGAAUUGAUGGCAUUUUUUAUAUCGUCCGUUAUUUUUGGGUCCUUUUUUUGGAAUAUCAAAAUCUCUGUUGUACCAAAGGCUUAAAAACAAGGAUAUUUUGCAGUCCAAGGAGAAAGUUUACCAUUUUCAUAUCAACACAAAUUUCCAACUGAUGUUCUUCUGUUUUUAUUCUUCCUUCAUGGUAGUAAAAUGACAAAUUGGUAGUGAAUCUUAGUUGUUACUGUUAUGUAAAAAACACAAAAUUUUUUGAUCUGUCUAUAAAAAGGCGCAAUUUUGCAGUUAAUUGAAAAUUAAAAAACACACAGUAAUAUGAACGAAAUAAGAGUGAAAUAUUGGUAUCAUGAGAAGUGUUUCGCCCUGUACUAGAUUAUUCUAGUAAUUGGUUUUUUUUUAAUUUUAUAGUUGAUAUGAUUUAUUUAUUAAUUUAUUUUCCUUAUGAAAAUGAAAAUAUACAAAUUUUUAUCUUUU